AUAGAGAGAGGUGAAGAACGGUAUUGGUAGAGGGAGGUAGAAGUAUUGAGAGAGAGAGAGAGAGAGACAGACAGAAAAGUGGGAAGGUAGAUAGAGAGGUAGAUAUAUUGGUAGAGAGUUCAACAGGUGGGGAGGUAGAGAAGGGUUAGAGGUAGAUAAAGAGAGAUGAAGAGAGGUAUUGGUAGAGAGAGAAAGACAGGUGGGGUGAUUGAGGGUUGUAGAGGUAUUGUGGGAGAGAGAGAGAGAGAGACAGAUAGAGGUGAAUAGAGGUAGAGAUGUAGAGGAAAAAUGUUGUAGGUUGAGGAAUAGAGGCGGUUAGUAUGUUCUUGUUUAGUGUUUGCUAGGCAGUUGCUAUGGUAUCCCAGGUGGUCGCUGUGGUGGUGGUGAUAAGUACAGUAGUUGCUAGGUGAUUGCAACGGUGGUAGAUAGAUACAUUUCAGGGGGUUGUUGUGUUCUUGUUUACUGUUUUAGGUAGGUGGUUGCCGUGGUGUUUAUAUGUAUGAUUUUUUUCAUUGCCUCUUCAAGGAGUACAGGUGUACAUGAGUGUAACAUCUUGGGUGCAGGUUUGUUCGCACUAGU